UACGGAGGAUCCAAGCGUUAUCCGGAUUUAUUGGGUUUAAAGGGUGCGUAGGCGGCCUAUUAAGUCAGGGGUGAAAGACGGUAGCUUAACUAUCGCAGUGCCUUUGAUACUGAUGGGCUUGAAUGUACUUGAGGUAGGCGGAAUGUGACAAGUAGCGGUGAAAUGCAUAGAUAUGUCACAGAACACCAAUUGCGAAGGCAGCUUACUAAAGUAUGAUUGACGCUGAGGCACGAAAGCGUGGGGAUCAGACAGG
rnacentral:rRNA from 1 species